GACGAACGCUGGCGGCGUGCCUAAUACAUGCAAGUUGAGCGCUGAAGGUUGGUACUUGUACCAACUGGGUGAGCAGCGAACGGGUGAGUAACGCGUGGGGAAUCUGCCUUUGAGCGGGGGACAACAUUUGGAAACGAAUGCUAAUACCGCAUAAAAACUUUAAACACAAGUUUUAAGUUUGAAAGAUGCAAUUGCAUCACUCAAAGAUGAUCCCGCGUUGUAUUAGCUAGUUGGUGAGUUAAAGGCUCACCAAGGCGAUGAUACAUAGCCGACCUGAGAGGGCGAUCGGCCACAUUGGGACUGAGACACGGCCCAAACUCCUACGGGAGGCAGCAGUAGGGAAUCUUCGGCAAUAGACGAAAGUCUGACCGAGCAACGCCGCGGGAGUGAAGAAGGUUGUCGGAUCGGAAAACUCGGUUGGUAGAGAAGAACGUUGGUGAGAGUGGAAAGCUCAUCAAGUGACGGUAACUACCCAGAAAGGGACGGCUAACUACGUG
rnacentral:rRNA from 1 species